GAAUGUGGAGCUUGGUGACAAGACUGACAGACAAGUGGCAGUGUUGCUAUCAAUGCUCCGCAUUCGC
rnacentral:pre_miRNA from 1 species